AACCUCCGCAAUGUGAGAAAUCGCGACGGGGGGAUCCCAAGUGCCAUUCUUAACGAGAUGGCUUUUCAUUAGUGUAAAGAGCUUUUGGAAUAAGAGCUGGGCAAGACCGGUGCCAGCCGCCGCGGUAACACCGGCAGCUCUAGUGGUAACAAUUUUUAUUGGGCCUAAAGCGUCCGUAGCCGGUUUAAUAAGUCUCUGGUGAAAUCCUGUAGCUUAACUGUGGGAAUUGCUGGAGAUACUAUUAGACUUGAGAUCGGGAGAGGUUAGAGGUACUCCCAGGGUAGAGGUGAAAUUCUGUAAUCCUGGGAGGACCGCCUGUUGCGAAGGCGUCUAACUGGAACGAUUCUGACGGUGAGGGACGAAAGUUAGGGGCGCGAACCGGAUUAGAUACCCGGGUAGUCCUAACUGUAAACGAUGCGGACUUGGUGUUGGGGUGGCUUUGAGCUGCUCCAGUGCCGAAGGGAAGCUGUUAAGUCCGCCGCCUGGGAAGUACGGUCGCAAGACUGAAACUUAAAGGAAUU
rnacentral:rRNA from 1 species